CCUACGGGGGGCAGCAGUGAGGAAUAUUGGUCAAUGGGCGAGAGCCUGAACCAGCCAAGUCGCGUGAAGGAUGAAGGAUCUAUGGUUUGUAAACUUCUUUUAUAUGGGAAUAAAGUGAGGAACGUGUUCCUUUUUGUAUGUACCAUAUGAAUAAGCAUCGGCUAACUCCGUGCCAGCAGCCGCGGUAAUACGGAGGAUGCAAGCGUUAUCCGGAUUUGUGGGUUUAAAGGGUGCGUAGGUGGUUAAUUAAGUCAGCGGUGAAAGUUUGUGGCUCAAACAUAAAAUUGCCGUUGAAACUGGUUGACUAGAGUAUAUUUGAGGUAGGCGGAAUGCGUGGUGUAGCGGUGAAAUGCAUAGAUAUCACGCAGAACUCCGAUUGCGAAGGCAGCUUACUAAACUAUAACUGACACUGAAGCACGAAAGCGUGGGGAUCAAACAGGAUUAGAUACCCCGGUAGUC
rnacentral:rRNA from 1 species